ensembl:lncRNA
GUGUCUUGCUGGGGAACUCUGCCUACCUGAGGUCUUCUAAGGAAUUGUCAGCAAACUGAAAACUCUUUGGCUCCCAUGCUCCCUUGCCCGCUCUGUCUAUGCAUGCUUGCUCCCUUCAUUCACAGCUCACUAUGCUGUCGGCGCAACGUGCUGCUGCACCACUCAGUGCCACGGAAUCUCUUUCAUUCCCACAGCCCUUUGGGCACUGUUGUAUUACAAUAGUAAUAUUAAAUGGUUUGAUCCACUUCCCUCUGAAGUCGGUGGACAUCCAGCAUAGGGUUUCUCUCUCUUUCAAGGCACAUGAUAGACGGUGUCAGGAAUCCUCUCUUUGCUGUUGCUUUAUCCACCUGUGCUACACACUGGUUCAGCACAGAGCUUAUUAGCAGCUACCAGAAGAGAUGGAUGCUGAUUGUGGAAAAGGCUGAGAGCCGACCUGUCAGAUGGAAAUGGUUUCCAAUAAUUCUCCAGAGGGUGUUUUCUGAGAGAAUGCAUUUAUUUGCACGAUGGAAUAGUCAUUUCAGCCUGUAUCUGCAACAGUACAUUACCAUACCGAGCCGUGCUACUGGCUAUUAUGCACCAGGGGGAAUUUCUUUAGCACUUAAGAGUGAACCUAGCAAGCUAUAGCUCUGAAGCUGAGUGAAAAAAGGAAUGAGAAGUUUUACUGGAGGGGGUAGCAGAGACGAUCCCUUCCCACCACAAAGUGUGUCCCAGGCAGGCUGUUCCCCCAUGAUCACUGUUGCUGUGACUGUGCAAGUUGCCUGAGAUGGGAGCUGAGGGCAUGUUCUCAUGGUAGGGAAAGCAUUUCCCCCCCACUCUGAGCGUUCUCCCUCGGCAGCAACCAGCCCUUCACAAGCAAUUUUGGUAUGAGAGCACAGGGGUUGUGUUUAUUUGCCUGUAAAGUAACAAAUCUGAGACUUAAUCAGGCUUCUGUUUCUUUCAUUGCCCGAGGAAACCUGCAAGCCUUAAAUAGCUUUUCUGGUCUUGUUCUUUAUGUUUUGGAGGGAACUUUUGCAAAUCACUGAGCAUUUUGCUUUGGUGGGCAGGUUACUUCAUGCUGCAGUACCACCAGCUAUUGCUCUUACAGCGAAGGAUCAAUAGCAUUUUCCACUGUGAAUGUGCCUCCCCUGUUCUUUCCCCAGUCCCAUUCUUUUUGCCUUUGUGGGCUUCAUCUGCAAGGCAGACGGUUCCCUCUGCUUUGGGAAGUGAUACGUUCUCCCACAUAGGAAAUUGGUUCAGCUUGGGGUUUUCAGUGCAGCCUAAGGUGUACAGGCAUGCAGAGGGACAGGAGCUGCACCAGAAGCUGUCCGUGGGCUGGGCCAAGCAGGAAUCUGUGGGCGGCUGAGUCGGAUGUAGAGGUGCAGAGCCGCGGGAGAUGUUCAAGGCAAGGGCUGAGGCAGAAGAGCUUAUUACGUGGGUAUGGCCAGAGGCAGGUACCCAUCUUGUUCCUGACAGGGUGUUUUGACAGCUGUGGGAGCUGGGAACUGGAAGAGCAGGUAGAGCCUUGCAGGAGUACAGGGCUGAGCACUGGGACCUCAGCUGCUGCCAGCAGCUCUGCCCAAACCCAGGUCCUGUCCAAACCUCCAGUCCUCACUCUGCAUCUUCCCCUCUUCAUCUGUAUGCGCUGGGUGUGAGGGCACAGGUGUGAGGAUGCAGUUGGUGGGAGGCUCUGGAGCAAGAGCAGGAGCAGGCUGGGUGGUUUGAACAGGUAAUUCCGGCCAUUGUGGCAGGAAGAAGUUUGCCACAGGCAAGUCACAAGGCAAUUUUGUGCUCGGGUUCAUUUUCUCAGUGUGGGAAGACAGGGAAGGCUGAAGCUGAACGUAUGGUUAUGAUAUAACAAGCAUCAGAAAUAAUGUUGAGUCGAAGGCUGAGCCAAGGAGGAAGCCAUGGUUAAGACUGGUAAAGAAGAGAUCUCAAUGUUACGGGACAGCUGCCUUCUGCAGUGACUGCGUGUUCCCCAGCAAAGCGAGCUGUGGUCUGUCUAGUGUGUGGUCUUGCUGCGAGAGGACAAAUCUCUGCUGUCACAGAGCACCCAGGGCUCAGAGGAGGGAGAGGCAAAGCUAGAAGCUCACCACUGAGCAUCUCCAGAUACGGCUACUGGCAGAGCUUGUGUAGCUCAGGAAGUUAUCACAGAGGCAAUGCUCCCUAAGGGACUAUCCCAGCACCCACUCACCACAUUCACCUGCACGUAAUGACAGACGAGGAGUGGACAUAGUAAUGUAUUUUGCAGAAGACAGCUGAGUAAAGGUUAGAUGUUUCAGUGGGGAUCUGUAGUUUUUCACCCAGUUCUACAAAAGACUACAACAGGAACUGAAUCGAUCCCAUCCUGCUUUCAAAGAUGGACCCAGGGAACAGGAGCAAGGACACAACCAAACUGGAAAUCAUUACACUUCAAGGCUGCACGCACAUGGUUUUCAGAAGGCAUUCAGGUCAGCCUCCACCCUGGAGGGAACCAAGCACAUUCUGUACUGGGAAGGGAAAAGUCUGAGCCAACUAUGUAAU